rnacentral:lncRNA from 1 species
GUUCUCCAUUACCCUGCACUCGCCUUACUCAUGUUGCAGUCUGAGGCACGCAGUUCCAGUUUGUUUUUAACCAUAUCUGUUUUUGGAUGCAUUUGAUUGCUUUUUUCCCACCUGUUUGUGUCAUAUCUCCCUCACCAGCCUUUUCCUGCAUUACUUUCAACAAAAGAUGUUGCAGUAAAGAGCCCAAAGAUCUGGUGCUGUCCCCCGCUUCUUAUUCACACGCCAUUGCACAACGUGUCGACAGGUGUAACACACACAAACGGGUUACAUAUGCAUUUGAGGAGAAGCUGAUUACAAAGAUCUAGUCUGGUUAAAUAUUACAGUUGAUCUUUCAGUUUCAUUUCUUGGUCAUGGAUGAUUUUGUAAGAAACAAACUGAUUGAAUGGCAGCUAAGUGAGUUGGAGGAACGAUUUGAAGGUAAAUUAUUAUUACUAAUCCUUGAUAAACAAAGAUGUUAAUAUUAAUGGAAUCAGUAAACUCUGAAACAGAAACUCUGUUGAUAUGAUUUUGCUGUACAACUGUUGAGAUUUUUACAUGUCUGGAAGAGAAGUGCUUUUCUGUAGCAUCUUCUACAUUGUCAAGUCAUCACAGACAUUUUAUCACACAAAGGCGCAGUGGCAUUUAAAAUAAAUAGACAUACUUAUUUCACUUGUUUUUUUCAUAAGGUGGAUUUCUGCAGCAGUUUUAAAUUUUGCCCCUCUCCAUAACUGAGAUUUAAUAUUUAAUUACAGAUAACAAAAUUACAGAGGAAAGCCUUUUCUGUCUUACUGAAAAUGACAUCACUGAGCUAAUCCGUUUAGUUGGUCCAAGGGCAAGAUUCAGAUGCAGACUUGAGCAGUUAAAGGUAAGUCUGGUCAAUAUUUUUACAUUUGGUCUUAAAAAUCUCACAUAUAUAAAUAUGGAGGAGCAGGAGAGUCACAUGCAUCAAAACUAUUUUGUGGUUUAAUAAUAAAUUGUGCAACAAAACAAACAUUAGUAAAUUUAUUUCCAAAGUUAUGUUUUAUCUUUCUUUUAGGCCCAAAAUGUGUCAUUGGAUACUAUCUGUAAUAAAUGGGAAUUUCUGCAAUAUAAAAACAACCCAUUUUCAAUAUAGUUAAAUUAAAAAUGUUUAAAGAAAAAAACAAAGAAAGCUUUAUUGUUACAAGAAAUUAGUAAAUUCUGUGACAAAAUUGUAUAAAAU